rnacentral:snRNA from 1 species
AUACUGACCGGGCAGGGGAGAUGCCGUCAUCAGGACGGUGGUUUUCCCAGGGCGAGGCUCACCCGGUGCACCACGGGUGUGCUCAUCCCCAUGAUUUCCCCAAAUGCAGGAAACUCGACUGCAUACUUUGUGGCAGUGGGGGCUGCGUCUGUGCUCUCCCCUG